rnacentral:rRNA from 1 species
AGAGGGUGACUUAGCGGCGGACGGGUGAGUAACGCGUGGGCAACCUGCCUUACACAGGGGGAUAACAAUUAGAAAUGAUUGCUAAUACCGCAUAAGACCCCGGUACCGCAUGGUACAGGGGUAAAAACUGAGGUGGUGUAAGAUGGGCCCGCGUCUGAUUAGGUAGUUGGUGGGGUAGAAGCCUACCAAGCCGACGAUCAGUAGCCGACCUGAGAGGGCGACCGGCCACAUUGGGACUGAGACACGGCCCAAACUCCUACGGGAGGCAGCAG